rnacentral:lncRNA from 1 species
AUAUAAAAAAGAAGAUGUGCCAAUGAGACAACUAUCCACAAAAGACCAAAAUGAAACAGACAUUAACAACUAUAGGUCACUGUACGGCCUUCAAUAAUGAGCAAAGCCCAUACCGCAUAGUCAGCUAUGAAAGGCAAUUGUAAAACAAUUUAAAGUUUAGUUAUGAUAUUUUUAGCUUUGCCGUUAUUUGUCAUCCAAUUUUGAACUACAGACAUAAAUUGUACAUUACAUUUCAUUGCAUACUGCAAGUUAACCAAUCAAAUGUUCAUUAUUUUCUCCC